rnacentral:lncRNA from 1 species
UUAUUGCAAUGAAUUUGUCCAUCAAUUAUUAAUUAUGGUAAAUUCCUUGUUCAGAAACUAUCAAUAGUCUAGUUUAGGGACUCCGCAGUUUUUUUCCGACAGACUUGUACAGAAAAAAGACCACAAGCUGGUGAUGAUGACAUACAAGAAAACUCGAGAUCUCAGGUACAAGCCUCUCCUUCGUAACCAGGAAAAAACACACGAGUUUGCUCAGGAUUGCACUUUUCCUUUCAGUGCUUCAAUCACUGCUGAAAAAUCACUAUCGCUAAGCCCGUGACUUUUUGCUACCUUGUAUAGUUCAUUUGCAGCUGCUGCAAUUGGAGUGGGUUGGGAAACAGAUUCUGCUAAUCCCAGGGCAAGUCUCAUGUCCUGAAACCAUUGACUUCAUUUUUGAGAUGACAGCGUUGAUUUAAAUAGUGUCUGCAAUUUAGCAUAUCUACAAACCUUCUGCUGAUGCUUUAAGGGAAAAGCAGUAGGGUAUAGAGAUUUGACCAUUGAUGGACCUUUCAGCGAAUACAUCGGUGCACUAAUGGCACCAAGUGACACUACCUGCAAUUUCACCUAUGUAAGAAGAUUCCUACGAGGCUUCAAUAGAUGCCUUCAAAAACAACUAAAUAAAAUAAAAUAAAAAAGAUAACAUCAUUCUAUAUACUAGAGGCUUUUAGUUUUACCAACAAAGACAAGGAAGAAGAGUGCACGCUUUAAUUUUAAGAGUUUUUCAAGCCAGAAAACCUAACAAAUGAGGUCCAUUUUGGAUGUACUCUUCCAUUAAGUGCUGUUAUUGAACAAGAAGGGUGCAACACCUUGAUUCGUCUUGACGAAGGAAUUUUAGUUAAGCAUCAUUCAGAACCUCUCUCUCUCUCUCUCUCUCUCGCUCUCUCUUACACAAACAAACGCAGACGAAGAAAUAAAACAGACUGAAAAUCAACGAGUUUCUUCAUUUAUUUUCCAGAGAACGGCAGAGCAAUGAUUAUAUCAUUGUGCAUGUUCGAAUGAGAUAGAAAGAACAAGAAUAAUCCAAUAAAAAACAAACAAGAGUAUGAAUUCAGUUAAUCUUCAUGGGGUUUGAUGACAAGUGACACGACAUAAUCUAACAAGAUUUUCUCUGUUCACAAAUACCUCAACCAGUACAUUUGGGUCCAGUCCUACUUUCUCGCUGAGAAGCAACCCUUCAGAAAAGGUUGCCAUCAUACUGCAAACUGUUGAAAACACCAGGUGUCACAAGUUGACCGAGCUAUUGAUUCUGGUUAAAACAAAUCGCCAGAUUGGGAUCUCAGGUUUACUGAGUUGAACACAAAGGCCAAGGUUCAAGUUAAAAGGGGUCUCUAAAUUGAGAAUCCAGAUUAAAUGAGCUGAAGACAACAUUUUAGUUCUCGUUAAAGGGGAUCGCCAUAUGAGAUCUCAGGUUGACCGAGAUGAAGAAAAAUACAUAGGUUUUGGUUAAAAGGGGUCUCUAGAUUAAGAUUCCAGGUUAAUUAAGUUGAAGGCAAGAUUUUAGUUCUGGUUAAAGUGUAUCGCCAAAUGAGGAUCUCAAGUUGACCGAGCUAUUGGUUCUAGUUAUAAGGAAUAAUCAAAUUGGAAUUUCAGGUUGAUCAAGCUGAAGACAAAGACUAAGGUUCUGGCUAAAGGGGUCUCUAGAUUGAGAUUUUAGGUUGAUCGAGCUGAAGAUAAAAACCAAAGUUCUAGUUAAAGGGGUCUCUAGAUUGAGAUUUCAGGUUAAUCGAGCUAAAGGCAAACAUUUUCAUUUUGGUUAAAGGGAAUCGCCACAUUAGGAUUUCAGGUUAUCCGAGCUGUUUUUUAGAUUUCGAUUCUAGUUAAAGGGGAUCGCCAGAUUAGGAUCUCAGGUUGACUGAGCUAUUGGUUCUGGUUAAAAGGAAUCAUUGGAUUGAGAUUUUAGGUUGACCGAGCUGAAGAGAAAAACUAAGGUUCUAGUUUAAGAGGGUCUCUAGAUUGAGAUUUCAGGUUAACUAAGUAAAGGCAACAUUUUGGUUUUGGUUAAAGGAAAUUGCUAGACAAAAUCUCAGGUUGACUAAGUUGAAGAUAAAGACCAAAGUUCUAGUUAAAAAAGAGUCUCUAGUUUGAUAUUUCAAUUAACUGAGUUGAAGGCAAUAUUUUGAUUCUAGUUAGAGGGGAUUGCCAGAUGCAAUCUCAAGUUGACCAAGUUGGAGACAAAGACCAAGGUUUUGGUUAAAGGGGGUCUCUAGAUUGAGAUUUCAAGUUAAUCAAGCUAAAGGUAACUUUUUGGUUCUAGUUAAAGGGAAUCACCAGAUGGGAUCUUAAGUUAAUCGAGUUAUUGGUUUUGGUUAAAGAGAAUCACCAAAUUAGGAUAUCAGGUUAGCCAAGAUGUUUCAUAUUUUGAUUCUAGUUAAAAGGGAUCAUCAUAUGAGAUCUCAGGUUAACCAAGUUAUUGGUUCUGGUUAAAGGAAAUCGCCAGAUUGAGAUUUCAAGUUAGUCAAGUUGUUUUAUAUUUUUGUUCUGGUUAAAGGGGAUCACCAAAUUGAAUUUUCAGGUUGACUGAAUUUUUUGCAAAGAUUUUGAUUUUGUUUAAAGGGAGUCGACAAAUUAGGAUUUCAGGACAACCAAUGUGUACACAGUUUGAUCGUAGUUUUGGUUGAAAGGGAUUGCUGCGAAAACAGAGUUUCAAGUAAACUGAACUAGACGCUUUGAGAAGAUUAGUUUUGAAAAAACAAUUUGUUUGUCUUUACAAACUUACUAUACAAAGUACUUAACAAGUUUUUCCUUCGUAAGUAUUGUAAAGAUAGGACAUUUGUUAUUACCUAAUUUUUUAUCCUGUUUUUGAAAAAAAAAACCAAAAAAUAGCAACAAAAAAAAAACAGCAAAAACACAAAAAAUAUGUACGUCUUUUCCAAAGAAUUUAAAAUUAAAAAAAUAAAAAAUACAUUUAAUUUUUAGUGAUUUAAUUAUAAUCGUGGAAGGGAGAGGAUCAAUUUGAAAAUUGAAAACCCUCUUACCAAGCAACCCAUUUUUUUAAUCAAAUGAUCUACAAUCAUUCUCUUAGUCCAAAGGUUUAUUUUUCUUUGCUUUGUUUCCAAGUUAUCAAAUGAAUGGUUGAGAUUUAUUCUUGAAAUCCAAUUGUUAAUCUUGGUUUGUUUUGUCUUCAAGCUAAAGAAAAUUUUCACCUAUAAAUAGAUGGUUAAACACACACACACACAAAAGGGCUAAGUUUUCAAAAAUACACAACAAAAAUCUUUCUUUCAAAAAUACAAUUUUAUUUUAAAUUGUAUACGGUCAAGUUUUUUUAAAAACACAAAAAUCAUAUCUUGUUUAAAAAAUACAAUACAUGGUAUGUUUUAUUUUUUUAACAUACAUUUUGAAUUUAAUAAUCAUUUUAUUAAAUCCAUGAGGAUUUGGCUAAUAUUUCUAUAACCAAUAAAAUUCUAAUUCAUGAUAAUUAAUAGUCAACAUUCUGGUAUAAAUGUUGGACUUACAAGUAAGCUGAUAUUUAAAUAUCAAAAGUUGACCAGAAAAUUCUCAGAAUUAUCCUGAAUAUUCAUCAAUUUUAAUUGAAAGUAUUUUUUACCAAAACACACGAGUUGUGGAACACUCUUCCGCCUUCUAGGAUAAAUGAACCCUAUCAAGACACUUACAUGGAUCCUAAGCAAUAGAUAGACCACCAAUUAGAAACUCAUCAAAUCAUUUAAAUCACAUUCAGACCAUACAAUGCAGCUUACUUCAUGCAGGGUGCACUAGGGAUGCUAAUAUCUUUCCUAGCCACAAUUAGUUCCUUACCCUUAGAAUCUCUGAUAAAACAAGUACACCGAGUUUUCUAACCUAAACCAAACAGCUAACUCCCACGACCCCAACAACACAUGUCCACUUGCGAUUGGGUUAAGCACAUAAACAAAAGUGAGCAAUGUUAGUUGAGAGCCUACAAUUUUGACUUAUGAGAUCACAUGGUAAGCUUUUAUUGGUGAGAGAAGUUACAGUUUUUUAUUGGUGCAGGUGUUUGAUUGUUUGGAUUUUCCAAGUUUUCUUGAAACCAAUAUAGUCAACUGACAUUAAUUUGAAGGUGAUUGCACUCAUGAAAGUGCAAUAUCAUGUAAAAUAAAACCUGAAAUCUCCAAAAUAGAGAUUCAACCAGUGUGCAGGAGUUCUCAAAGACUCUUAUAUUCCUUUCUUCCCAUAUCAGGUAGACAACAAUGCUAAGGGAGACCCUUUUUAUUCUGGCAACAGCGUUUUUCCCCUUGAGAUUGAGGCCCCGAACAACACUACUAAUGGUGGCCAUACCCCUGCAGAGUCGAAGCCAAGAUUUAACCUUCGGCCACAAGAGGGAUGUCCAAUUGCAAGCAAAGAAAAGGUGAUUAUAGCUUUCCUCAUGAUCUUGAUAGAAGACGCAGCUAGCAGCUAGCAUCAGCAUCAACAAAGUGCAGUCUGUCUCAUGUUCUCAGCCUCCCAAGUAAAGCAAGCCAAAGGAUGAAACCAUGCCUUGGUAAACACCAAGGUUCCCAAACAACCUUAACCUAUGACACCAAGGUUCCUUUAAAUCUAAAAAACUCAUAAGCAUAACCCGAGAAAGGCUCAGAAAUGUUAUCCCAACUUUGCAUCAUGGAGAUCACUUUUGAUUGUCCCCCGCAAUCUGCAAGGAGCUGAUCUCGAAGAGAAAUUAAGGACUUCCAUAGGGGAGAGGAGGUUAUUUGAAGAGGAACCAACCAGAUAGUACUAUCCUGCAAGUAAAAAUAGUGCACUCAUCUAAUCCAAAUCGAGUCAGUUUUUAAAUGAAUAUUCCAUAGCUACUUUGCAAUAAAACAGUUGUUCCUUGCCUUCAUGUCAUAGAGCCCAAGGCAUCCCUUAUUUCUUUAGCAAACAGAUGUGCUUCCAGGCAACUAAGACAGACUUGCUUCUAGCAGUGUUACCAGCCCAUAAGAAGUUCCUGCAAAUGCAUGUAAUUUGGUUGAUGACAAUAUCUGGCAUGGGGAAAAUGUUGAGCCAAAAUUGCACCAUGCCAAAAAGAAUAGAUCUAAUUAACUCCAGACGCCCAGCAUAGGAUAAGUGCUUGCCCAUCCAGCCUUGUAUAGCAGAUUCAAGUUUAUGCAGGAGGGGGGAAAACUGGCUAGCAAGAAGCCUGUGGGGACUGAAGGGAACACCAAGGUAUUUGAAGGGAAAGCUGCCUUUAGAAAAACAAGAAUCUUGAAGGAUACCCUGCUUCAUACUGUCUCCAACUCCUCCAAAAUAUAUGAAAGAUUUCCCUGCAUUAAUGUGUAACCCUGAGGUCUGGCCAAAGACAUGUAACUGCUCUAGAAGAAUCCGAACAGAAGAUUUGUCCCCCUAACAUAACAGAAGAAUGUCAUCUGCAAAAGCAAGUGACAGAUGUUAUGAAAUGCACACUUCGGGUGAUAAUGGAAGCCUGGCUGUUGAGAUGCUAUCUUUAGCAUACGUGAGAGAUAUUCCAUGCAGAUUAGAAACAGAUAGGGAGAGAGAGGAUCACCCUGCUGAACUCCACACCUCCCAGGGAAAAACCCAUAUAGGCUGCCAUUGAUAGCAAUAGAGAAAGAAGAAGUUUCCACACAUAACAUAACUAGAUAAACAAAACGCUAAGGGAAACCCUGUAGAUGAAGAAGCUCUCUAAGAAAGACCCAUUGCACCGAAUCAAAAGCUUUCCUAAAAUCAAUUUUUAUGAGGCACCGGGGAGAGGUUCUCUUCCUGCCAUAAUGCCUAAGAAACUCUUAAGCCAAGUUAAUGUUAUCAAUCAUAUUCCUCCCUCCAAGGAAAGCAUUCUAAGCUGGACCAAUAAUGUCUAGCAGGGCACGACACAAUCUACCGGCUAGAAUCUUGGAUAUCACUUUAUAAAUCACAUUGCAGCAAAAAAAAUUGGCUUAAAAUCAUUGGCUAAGUUGACAUUAGCAGACUUUGGAACCAGAGCAAUAAUGCAAUGAUUAAUCUGUUUGAGGAUUUGACCAGAAGAAAAGAAAUCUUGAACUGUCGCACAAAAAUCAGCACCAACGAUGUCCCAAGAUUUCUUGAAAAAAAGAGAUGAAAAUCCACCAGGAGAAAUAGACGAUGAAGUUCCAAGAAGGUUUUGAUAGUAACGAACAAAUUCAGCUCCAACUUCAUCUAAAGAGGUAGUAAGAGCCCCAUUACUACGCUGGACAGCAGGAAUGAAACUUUUCAUCUGCUUAUGACUCAUCAAAGCAUGUAAAACCCUUGUACCUCUGUCACUUUUCUUAAGAAAGUUACACUUGAGCUUCUAGGCAAAAAACGCUUUCUCAACAGAUUUAAGGUUAAAGAGAUUCAACUUCAUUUGAUUAACUCUGUUCAGGAGAGAGAUGUCAUCUCUAGAAUUGUGUAGGAGGCAUUGAUGAUGCUCUAAAUCAGCCUCAACUCUAACAACUCUCUCUGAAAUGUGACUAAAAUGAAGCUUGUUUAAAGUCUUCAGAGGACUCUUCAAAGACUUGAGUUUCCUGCACAAAAUGAACAUAGGAGUGCCUGCAACUAGGGAUUGCCAUCCUUCAGAGAUUAAACCUGCAUAGUCUGGGUGAUCAACCCACAUAUUAAAGAACUUGAAGGGGCGCCGACCUGGGGAUCUGUUGCUACCAAUCUGAAUGUGACCUCCUGAUUGAUCAAAGAAAGCACCUAGAGGGUGAAAAUGCACAUGGGACGUGAGCUGAAGAUUUCACCAUAAAGGAUUGGCUAGAACACGAUCUAUUUUAGUCCAAAUAAUCCCAUUGGAUCAAGUAUAGUGGCAGCCAGUGUAAUUCAAAUAAGAGAGGCCCAAGUCGGAACAGCAUGCUCUGAAAUCAGAGACUUCAUAAGAUGAGACAGGGUCACCAUUGUGUUUAUCUUUCUGGGAGAGAAUGGAGUUAAAAUCUCCUAAAACAAUCCAGGGACCAGCUGGAGCCCAGGACUUAAGGUUGUCCCAAAGAGAUCUGCGAGCAAUAAUAGUAUUGAAACCAUAAACAAUACAUUUUGCUAAUUGGUAUAUAGGUUACUGUAACUUCUUAGAUGUUGUUGGACCAUAGCUGUUAAAGAAGCUUUGUAAAUAGUAGGAUGCAAGUAAUUUGUUUAGAGUCCAUGCAACCUUUUUAGUUGGUAAAUUAAUGGUUUCAAGAAUUUUCAUAGUGAUGUCCUAAGGUAUUUUGCUAACUAAAACUUGACGAUGUGCAGAUCUAUUAUCUUAAAAAACAUGAUACAAAGUAAAGCUAUUACUCCACUAUCUCACAUAUCAAAUUAAUGCAUGUUUUCUCAUAAGGAAAAAAUCAAAGUCGUCAAAGUUAUUGGAUGAUUCAUAUGCAUACACGUGGUAGAGCGUGGACAAUGGAAUUAGUAAGUGUUAAAGUGUAAUUUGUAAUUUUUAGUAUUAUUAAUUUUAGUUUUAAUGAGUAAAAGUUCUCUUGGUUUUCCCUAGAUUGUGAAAGUUCAUGUGCUCCUAGAUUUCAUUAAAUUAGUUCGUGUUAUAUAGUCUUUCUCUAUUAUGUUCUUGUAACCUGCAGAAUAAAAAGAAUAAUAAGAAAAUAUUUAUGGUAUUAAGUUGCAGCUUUAUUAAUUAUCAUAUUCAAAUCUUUAUCUUCUUUAUUUCUACAGUUUGUUUCCAACAGAUUUGGUAUCAGAGCAGGUUUCUUCUUAAUGGCUUCUUCAUUAAGUAUUUCUACUUUCUCCUAUACCGCAACGCAAAUUCCUAUCUUCGAUGGAGAGCAUUAUGAAUACUGAAGUUCUCAAAUGGAGACUGUCUUCAUUUCAGAAGAUUUAUGGACAUUAGUUGAUGAGGGGUUUAAAGAACCACCCUAGACAGGAUCUUCUACUUCUUGGACAGAAAAAAAAUACAAAGGAAUAUAAGCAGAAUGUGCAAAGAAAUGCAACUGCCUUUAGAAUAAUUUAGCGAGUAAGCAAAUCAAUUUAUCUCGGAAUUUUCUCUAUUAAAAAGGCAAGAAAAGCAUGGGAGAUUUUAAAAAAUGAAUUCUAGGAUUCUCAUAAAGCUAUCUCCAUUCGACUAUAGAAUCUGUGGAUAGAAUUUAAAAAUCGUACAAUGAAGGAUAUUGAGUUAAUUAAAGAUUUCUCUUCAAGAACCACUGAAAUCAUCAAUCAAAUCAAAAGUUGUGGAGACAAUGUUUUUUAUAAAAGAGUUGUAGAGAAGAUUCUUAGAAGUUUGAUACAAAAAUUUGAGCAUAUAGUUGUUGUUAUUGAAGAAACAAAAGAUCUGUCAAGGCUUACAAUUCAUGAAUUGAUGGGAUCUCUUGAAGCAUAUGAACAAAGAGUAAACUAGUAUAGCAAGCAACCAAUGGAGCAGGCAUUUCAGAUUAAAGCAAAUUUUUCUGAUAGGAAGGCAACAAGAUUUCAUUAAGAUCAAAGAGGAGGAAGAUCAUUUUUUAGAAAAGAAACAUAUGAAAGAGCAAGUGAAAGUUAGAAUUAUAGCAAAGAUAGAGGUAGAAACAAAGGAAGUGGAAGAAUAGACUUUCAGCUAAGAGGAAGCAGCAAUUUAUAUUGCACUAUUUACAAAAGAACUAAUCAUAAAACUUGAGAUUAUUUCUUUACAUGUACCAGAUGUAAAAAUUCCUCACAUUCUGACAAAAAUUGUUGGCAUAAAGAAAAAGGAAGAUGGCAAUGGAGAGAACAUUGCAGCACACUUUUCAAAGAAAGAAGAUCAAUUAUUCUAUUCUUACAUGAAUGUAGAACACAAAGGAGAAGAAGUUUAGUAUCUUGAUAGUGGUUAUAAUCAUCAUAUCACUGGUAAUCGCUCAAACUUUGAAACUCUUGAUAAAGCUUAUUCUUCUCAUGUUGAACUUGGUGACAGUAAGAGGAUGGAAAUCAAAAGAAGAGGUGAUGUUACAAUCCACUCCAAUAAAGGUAAUAAAAAAACAUAUUCAUGAUGUGUUUAGCAUUGGUCAGAAUUUGUUGAGUGUAGGACAAAUGAUGAGAAAAGGUUAUAAGUUGAUUUUUUAAUGAAGAAUAAUAUGAGAUUUAUAAUAAGAAAACAAAUUGGAGAAUAACUUGUCAAGAUGAGUUCUAAUAAUGUUUUUCCUCUUAACAUGAAAUCACUUCAUAAUGUUGUUAUUAGAAGUGAACAUGUUAAUGAAUCUCAUCUUUGGCAUUUCAGAUAUAGGCAUCUGAAUUAUAAUGGCUUGCAACAGUUAAAGCAAAAGAAUAUGGUUUCUGGUCUUCCUUCCAUCCAGAACCAAACUGGAAUCUGUGAAGGAUGUGUGUAUGAAAAAAUGCAUUGUUUUUCAUUUACAAAGACAACCUGGAGAACCAAUACACCUCUUGAAUUAAUCCAUGCAGAUAUUUGUGGCCCUAUUCGAACUCCAUCUAUAAGUAACAAUAGAUAUUUCUUACUCUUUGUUGAUGAUUAUUCUAGAAUGAUAUGGAUUUAUUUGCUUGAUAAACAAUCAGAAGCAUUCUCUAUUUUGUUUUUCAAUUCAAAACUUUUGUAAAAAAGCAAAGUGGGUGCCAGAUGAAGACUCUAAGGAUAGAUCAUGGAAAAGAGUUUAUUUACAAGCUUUUUCUUGAUUAUUGCAAAAAGAAUGGUAUUCAAAGGCAACUUAUUAUUCGGCAUACUCCUCAGUAGCAUAAAGUUGCAGAAAGGAAGAAUAGAAUUAUUAAAGAAAUAGCAAGAAGAAUUUUAUAAGGGAAAGGACUUCCUAAAAAGUUUUGGGUUGAAGCUAUCAAUACUGCAGCUUAUAUUCUCAAUAGAUCUCCAACAAAGGCAGUCCAAAAUCAAACUCUAUUUGAAACAUGGUAUAAGCGAAAGCCUGAUGUUAGUCAUCUUAAAGUAUUUAACAGUAUUGCUUAUGCUCUUAUUCCUUCUCAAAGCAGAGAUAAGUUUGAUGAGAAAAGGGAAAAACUUAUCUUUAUUAGCUAUAAUGAUGAAUCAAAAGGCUUUCAACUUUUCAAUCCUAAAAAGGAUUAGUUACUUUUUUCCAAAGAUAUUAUUUUUAUGAAUCUCCAGCUUGGAAAUGGGAAGAUAUAGUCAAUCCAGAAUCAGCAACACUGGAGUUACUUGAAGCUCUAAAGCAGCCUAAUGUUUCCAAUUCUUCUUCUCAAAAUGGAACUUGUUCAAAUUCUCACAAUGAAGGAAACUCAUCAAGUUCUAAUGAAGAAUCAUACUCAUAAUCUCCUCCAAGGAGAUUUCGACCAUUAAUUGACAUUUACAACUCUUGUCAUAUUGCUUUCUUUUCAGGUGAACCUUGGAAUUUUAAAGAAGCAGUAAAAAUGAAAGAACAUAGGAAAGCUAUGAAUGAGGAGAUAAUAAGUAUUGAAAAGAAUCAAACAUGGAAGUUAGUUGAUUUUCCAAAAGAAAACAAGGCAGUGGGUUUAAAAUGGGUGUUCAAGAUCAAAUACAAUGAGGAUGGCAGUAUUCAGAAGCAUAAGGCUAGAAUUGUUGCUAAAGGCUACUUACAACAACCUGGAGUUGAUUUUACAGAAACCUUUGCGCCUAUUGCAAGAAUGGAAACUAUCAUAAUAGUUCUUACUUAAUCUACACAACUUUAAUUACAGGUUUUUCAACUUGACAUUAAGUCAGCAUUUCUUAAUGGAGAAUUGUAAGAAGAAGUCUAUGUUGAGCAAACCCCCGGAUAUGAAUAAAAAGGGAAAGAAGAAAAAGUUUACAGACUUUGUAAAGCUCUUUAUGGAUUAAAACAGGCACCAAGAGCAUGGAACAAUAAAAUUGAUCUCUAUUUUCAUCAAAAUGAAUUUGAAAGAAGUAAAUUUGAACCAUCACUCUAUAUGAAGAAAAAAGGAGUAGACUUUCAAAUGGUCUAUCUUUAUGUUGAUGAUCUAAUAUAUACAAAAACAAGUAAAGAUAUGGUUGCAAAAUUCAAGGAUGCUAUGAUGAAAGAAUUCAAAAUGUGAGACCUUGGAUUGAUGAGAUAUUUUAUUGGCAUUCAAAUGAAGCAAUCUCCAGGGAAAAAUUUUAUUUCUCAAGAAAAGUAUGUUGCAGAUCUUUUCAAGAAAUUUGACUUGUCAAAAUGUAAACUAGUAACAUCUCCAAUACAGCAAAUGAGAAGUUACAAUAGAAUGAUGGUGCUGCUAAAGCGGAUUCAAUGAUUUUUUUGAAAUCUUGUUGGAUCUUUAAUUUAUCUCACAAAUUCAAGACCUAAUAUAUUAUUCCCAGUAAGUAUUAUUUCUAGAUUUAUGGAGGAUCCUAGCCGACUUCAUUGUGCAGCAGCAAAAAGAAUCUUGCGAUAUCUUUAAGGAACAAAGGAUCAUGGAAUCAUGUUCAAGAAACAAGAAGAUAACAGGUUGAUUGGUUAUUCUAACAAUGACUAGGCUGGAAGCUGUGAUGAUAGGAAGAGUACAUCUUGUUAUGUAUUUUUUCUAGGAACAAAUAUAAUUUCAUAGCAUUUAAGGAAGAAAAAUUCUAUAGUUUUAUCUUUUGCAGAGGAAGAAUACAUUGCUGCAAAUGAAGCAGUAUAUCGAUCAGUGUGGUUGAGGAGAAUUUUUUGAUUUACAGUAAGAAGUUCUUGGUCUUACUAUUAUAUUAUGUGAUAACAUGUUAGCAAUUACAAUGAUCAAGAAUCCAAUUUUUCAUGCACGAUCAAAGCAUAUAGAGUUAAGGCAUCAUUUUAUCAAAGACAUGGUGAGCAAGAAAGCGAUGCAACUGGAGUUUAUCAAUACAAAUGAUCAACCUUCAAACGUUCUCACAAAAGCUAUUCUAGUUGAAAAAUCUUUUUCUUCUCUAUUUCCAACGGUAAGAACUAAACAAAGAUGAUCUUGAAAGUAAAAGGUCAAUAAUAUUACAAAUAAAAGUAAAGGGGUAAAUUAGUAAAAAGUCAAGAAUAAAAAGACUAAAUAAAAGAAGUCUUAAUUGAAAACUAACUCAAAUAAGAAGUUGUUUAUAUUCCCUACUUAGUGUUUUAAUUUAUUUUUAACCUCUUUUCUAGCAUAUUCUCUAACAAAAAUAUUUUAGUGAGUAAAAUGAAAGGGACAAUAAGAAUGAGGGACCCAAAUAUAGUUUAGAAGAUUAUGAGAGAUAUUAAAAGGAUUUAAAAUUUAAAUUAAAAACAUUUAAAAUUGAAAUUAAAAAAUAAAGGAAUUUAAAGUUUAGAAUUAACAUUAAUGGAAUUAAAAAAAUUAGAAUUGAAAUUAAAAAAAAUUAAACUCAUAUUAAAAAUGAAAAAAAUAAAAUCUAAAAAGAUUUUUAAAUUCAAUUAUAGGAUUUUUAAAUUUAAGGAGGAGCAUUAUAAAUAGACGAGGAGAGAAACAAGAAGAAGAAUUUUUUUCAUGGAAAGAAAUAAAAAAAUCAAAAGAGAAACAAUUAUGAGAGAAAGUGAAAGAAAAGAAGAAAAAAAUAGGACAAAAAUAAAAAAAAAUUAGGGAGAUAUAAAAAAAAAAAAGAUUUUAACAAAAACAAAAAGACAAAAGACUCUCCUUCUUUACUGAAACCAAACCUUAGCCGCCUACACCAUAGCCUCCCAUUUUUCUAAGACUGCUGAAAUCUGACAACUUAAUCAUAACCUCAGAACUUGAAAUCAACUGUAGUCUUUAUCUCUCUUGACUUUCCACGUUAUAACCCAGUCUAACCUCUCCCAACCACGCAAUCUUUAUUUUGAUAAUGUUUGGAAAAAUAGUUAAAAUCAUGUUUUUUAAAAGUUAUAUAAAAUAUUAUUUAAAAUUAAAUUUUUUAUGUGUUUAGAUUAUUUUGAUGUGUUAAUGUCAAAAAAAUUAAAAAAUAUAUUAUUUUAAUGCAUUUUCGAAUGAAAAUUAAAAAAAUAUUUUGAAUUGCAACCACUAUUAUACUUUCAAACGCACAUUUCCUCGAAACCAUAAGCCCACGACCAAAACCAUUGUCUCCUCUCACUCGAAAUCGAACACAACAGCCUCCUUUAUUUCCCUUAUUAUAACAUAUACUAAAAUGUCUAUGACGAACAUUGUACUUUUUUAUUUUUACUCAAUUUGUUUUUUAAUUACAUCAUUGUAAGCCCAAAUUGAUGACUAAUUUGUCCAAUUUUGUUAAAGAUUGGAAAUAUUCAAUGAUAGGGUAGUAGAGUGAAAACAAUGGAGAAAUAUAAUGGUCAAUCUAAUAUUCUUAGGAAAAGUUCAUUUUGGUCCAAAGAUUUUUUUAUUGUUUUUUUAAUUACAUCAUUUUCAAGCCUAAUUGCAUGGAAUAUGGCUCAAAAUUAUGGUAAAUUUAUAAAAUUAAAAGUUUAAAGAUAAAAAAGUAAAAGGCGAAUAAAAUUGAUGGCUACCCACAAAUGUUCGCUACAUUUUUUUGGUCUUAAAUUUUAUUUAUUUUUUAUUUUUUGGUCUGUGUAUGAGAGAGAAACAAAGACUGUUAAAAAUAGCAUUAGAAAGAGAAAAUGUUUGGUUGUCAUAAUUUUGGCAACCAAAAUGAUCAAGUUUUAUGUCAAGAUGAUCCAUUUGACGAGGGAAGUUUGUUGGUGGUGGUUUUGGAUCCUCAUAUUAUCGAAAAAAAUAUAUCCGGCUUUAGGAAAAUUUGUGCUAUCAAUUUGAUUUUUCAAUUUUUAAUUUAUUUCUUACUAUUAAAGGGCACAUGAGGGUUUAUUAAGGUUUGUAGGGUUUUCCUUGGAUAUUUUGAGGUGAAACUUUGUUGAAAAUUGGGUUUUUUUAGUUCAAAAAUGCAAAAAUUAUGUCUUAUUAGUCACAAUAGAAGUCGAGUCAUCCAUUUUAUUUUUAUUUUUUAAAAAAAGUUGGAUGACAUGUUGUACUCCGCCUUAAAGAAAAAAAAAGAAUUAAGGUGCGCUUGAGCCUGGAUUUCAGGCCCAUAAGAGUCUAGCCUUCUCCUUUUAGACCCUAUCAUGAACCUGAGCCCCUUCUUCUUCUUCUUCUCACUAAAAAAACAUGCUAAUUCAUUUACUUUGAUAUGAUUUUUCAUAAUAUUAUAAUUUUUUUUUCUGAGUUUUAACAAUUUAUUUUUUUAAUUAUUAUGUAUAUGAUAUGACAAUAAUAAAUUGCUAAUGAAAAUUCAAUUAAAAUCAUAUUUUAAAAUUCUAUUUUUUUUCAUAUAUUAAAAAAAAUUCACGGGUUUGUUUGGUCAUCUUGAAUGUUUUUCUUAAAUCAAAAUUGAAUUAUUAUUGUCGUUAAGGUUUUUUUUAGAUCAACGUGCUUGAGCUUCUUCUUCUUUUUUUGUUAUCUAUACUUUUUAUUUCUUUGAUUUUAUUGUUUGUGUUAAAAUAAAGUUUUGGUUCGAUCUGGAACAUAGCACAGGGUAGUAAUCUAAUGCAAGCUAAACAAUAUACCCACCAAAGCAACAACCCUCCACCAAGCUUGACAAGUCCUCCUUCUCUCCCAGGCGUUGUGCCUUGUGCUCCUUCAAAAAUAGUGCAUGGUAUUGAUGAUUCUAUGCAGGAUGUGGUUGUUGCUGCAAGAUGAGAGCCCCUUAGAGGCAGGAAGCAAUAUAUGACUCGUAGCAUGGUUGCUGCUACUGCAAAAGUUGGUCAGCAUGCAAAGACUGAUGUUGUUGUUCUAUGUGAAGGCAGUGGUUCUGCAAAGGUUCGGCCUAUGGCAGGAAAUAGGCUUCAGGGCAAGCAUGAGGGUUCAGUUUCCCCUUCUUCUUCCUUAUGACUCCAUUUGGAUUUUGAUGUUAUUUUAUGUAGUCCUGUUUUGGUUUUACAGCAUCUCUGUAUGUGGAUUUAAUACUAUUUCAAGGGAGCAUGUUCCCUUUGUUACUUAAUGUUUAUUGUACAUUUGAACUUGCUAGUCUCCAGCUUUGUUUCUCUCUAGUUGUUGUUACAUGCAGCGUUGUGCAUGUAAGUUUGUUGUGAUGUCGUCGUCUAUUGGGUCGUUCCCAGCAAUGCUCAUCCUACUGUGUGAUCUAUUGCACUGGAUAGUUGUGCUUGCCAUGGCCUAGGUGGAAGCUUGCUCUGAUGUUGAGUGUUGGUAGCUCCUGUUUAUUCUAGGUUUUCUGGUUUGCUAGAGUAGCACCCUCUCUGGCUUUGUUGCUCCUUUUAUUUCUUGGUCGGCUGAACCUCUGUUGGCUUUUGCUGAUCUAUUAUAUGUUGUUUUGCUGCUAUUUAUUGCUGCUUGAAAACUUUACAGAAACUUUAAAGAAGAAUGCUUGAAUACUGUUGUAUUUUCGUUGCUUAAUAUGUGCAUGUACAGAGGGUUUAAAUAAAGGAUAAUGCUAACUGUUGUCCUACAUAUGUGCAUGUAUAUCUGAUGAGUUCAAAAUUUAAACAGUAGAUACAAUCUUGUUUGAUUUCAAAACUUUGAAUAUUGGAUAGCUAAGCUCCUGCAAAUUUGGUGCUUGUUGCAGCAUGUUCAUUCUCUUUGACUUGUUCUUGUACACUGCUUAUGUAGUGCAAGUUCGUCUGCUGCCUUUAUGUAACUGCUACUAGGUUUUCCCUGCUGCUAGAGUGGCUGUUGUUGCUGCUAUCUGCGGCCUCUUCUUGUAGAUAGUUGGAACUCUAUAGUGCUUGUUUGCAGGUUAUUUCCUGCUGCUGGGUUUUUGGUUUGCUGGAGUUGGGCUCCCCUCCUCUGGCUAUGUGUUUUUGUUGUUCACCAUGGAUGAUUGCUUUUCAGUGGAGAAGCCUUAUUGUUGUCUGCUGGCAUGCGUCUAGUUAUGGCCAUGUGGUAAAGUUUGUGCUGCUAAAUUGUUUUACUGCUUUCUACAGCCCUGUCUAUGUACUUGAUUCUUAGGCUAUGUAAUAUUUUGCCUAAGGGAGCCUGUUCUCCUAGUCUCUAUAUGUACAUGCCUGUAUAUUUAGAUUUGUUGGUUUCUAGCUUAACUUAGUUUCGUUUUGAUCUAUAAAAUUUCCAUUUGAUAAAAAAAAGAGUCCUCCUUCUCUCACUCUCACUAACAGACCCAAAUUCCUUCCCCAAAUCCAAUCGAUAAUCGACCCAAAGACAAGCCAGAAAUAGUUCCUAAAUUCCUUCCCAAAAUCCAACCAAUAUGCACGUGGAGUACAUGUUCUGACAUCCUAAGUGCUUGACAACACACCAGUGAAAGAUUCCCACAUGCCAACAUUUUGGUAUAUUGUUUUCAACAAUUUCUAGUCCAUGAUAGAGGUUCUUAAAGGUUUUUUUUUUAUCCCUAAGAAUUUUUUCUUGUGUAAGAAUGAUUUAUUUUUUUUGUAUAGGCUGUUUAAUUUUUGCAAAUGUGCUUGAUUCGUGUGUAUGGAUUUGUAUGGACUAUUUAGCUGGAUUGUUUAACUUUCAUGGAUAUGCUUGAUUUUUGUGUAUGGAUGUGUUUAAAUUUUUGUGUGGAUGCAUUUUAUGUAUGGAUGUGAGCUUUAAUUCAAGAAAAAAAAAACUAUGCUUAACAAAUUUUCUAAAAAAAAAGAACAAUAUGAAUAUUUUCGCAUGAGUAUUUUUUUUAUAUAAAAAAAAAUUGUUUCUUGUUUUUUUAGUUAUUUGUUAAAAAUCAAUAAAUAAAAUAUUUCUUGAUUUUCUAUGUUCAUUUUUUGUAUAUACUUUCUUUCAAAAAUUAAAUAUGAUUGAGGUGCUAUAUUUUCAAAGUAAAUUGUUUUUUUAAUAUGAAUUUGGAUAUGAGUUGAAGGGUAGCUUGGAAAUACUAUAUUGAUUUACUACUCCAUUAUAUAGUAAACCACUGUCCUACUAAUAGAUUCAACAACAUUUAUAUAUAUAUAUAUAUAUAUAUAUAUAUAUAUAUAUAUAUAUAUAUUGUUCUCGUCUUUGUUUGCAAAUGUGCUUCUUUUUCUUUCUUUUCAUCAAUAUUUGAGAAUCUUGUUUAGAAACAUCUAGGUGUUAGGAUAUAUUAAUUUGUUUGUUGUGAGUAGGUUUUGGAUGAAUCAAUGUGAUCCCAUCAAAACUCAUUGAGAAUGAGUGAUGACCUUUGGUCUCAUUUUGAAACUAGCCAAAGAAAAUGAAUCAAAGCCCAACUAAAUAUUCAUCAUCCUCACGGGUCUAAUGCUCGCAUUCUAAAAAUAAAGAUUGAGUCUUGUUGUCUGUUCCAAAUUCUAAAUCACUGCCUUAGGUUUUAGUCGCCCUUUACCAUAUAUGUGUGUGUGUGUAAGAGACAACACUUUUUAUAUAUAUAAAAAAGUGUAUAUGUAACAUGUAAAUAUUAUUGUGGUCUUUGUUUCCAAAUAUGCUUCUUUUUCUUUCCUUUCACCAAUGUUUGAGAAUGCUUGUUUAGAAAUAUCUAGGUGUUAGGAUAUAUUAACUUGUUCAUUGUAAGUAGGUUUGGGAUGAAUCAAUGUGAUCCUAACAAGGUUUAUUGAUGGUGAAUGAUGGCCUUCGGUCUCAUUUUGAAACUACCCAAAGAAAAUGAGUCAAAGUCCAACUAAACAUUCAUUAUCCUUUUAGGUCGUACACCUACAUUCUAAAAUAAAGAAUUAAGCUUUGUUGUCGGUUCCGAUCCCAAAUCACUACUUUAGGUUUUAGUCGUCAUUUACCACAUAUAUAUAUAUAUAUAUAUAUAUAUAUAUAUAUAUAUAUAUAUAUAUAUAUAUAUAUAUAGAAACAUAAAAGGUACUUUUAUCAUAAAAUGCAAACGUUAAGCAUUAUAUAAGUGUUUUGUAUGCUGAAAAUCAAGUAACCAUGGAUUUAUGAAGUAAACUUAUGUUUUGUAUGAUUCAACACAUUAUCUUUGUUGGGAUAAAGAUCAAAUCUGACUUAUUAAGGUAUGACUGACCUUGUGGUGUCAUUCGAUUCAAUUCCAAUAGUACUAGUGUCUUGGGACAGGUUUUUAUUGUGUCACACUUCUCAAAUUUGAUUUUCAUCUUUUUUAGGGAAGUAUCAUUUUUAUUAGGGUUACUUGACCACGUAAUAAAGAGAUUUGCAUCAAUACUUUCAUCAUAAAAUCCAAACAUGAAGUAGUUUAUCUUUAAGAUGUCUUGGGGUAAUUUUUAUUUUUAUUUUUUUAUAUAUAAUUAGCCUUUAUCUAAUAAUCUCUGAAUGACUAGUUAGAGUUUUUAAUUAUCAUAAAAUUAGAUGGCAUUUCCUUUUAUUAUUUUUUCCCUUUAACUCACCUAAAUGUCCCAUGCCACACUUCACAACAGUGAAAAUCAACAGAGUGACUUGUUUAAGCUAGUAAUGCAUCAUAUUGACCAAUGAUUCACACAAUAUACACAACAAUAUAUAUAGCAUACAAUAUCAAGCAGCCAUUAAAUUAGAUACACUGAUAGACAUUAUUUCUAGUUUCACUCCAAAUGCAUAGCUAACGAAAAGAAAAGAAAAGAACAUUGGCCAUAUCGAUAUAUGUAGAUGAUAGAUAGAUAGUCAAUGCCAGAGAGCUAAAGCUUUUGGUCAACUAGGACCGAUGAUGCUACAAUCUUUAAGCUGCUCCUGUCAUUUGUGUGCAAGUGUGAUCCAACACUACUGUUGCUUGCACUCAGGAGGGUGCUCCUUUCUGAAUUUGUGCCCCUCCAAUCUUCUGCAAUUAAUAAAACCAAAUCAGAUUUUCUCGGAACUUUGUACACAGAACAACAGAUAGCAUAAAAAACUAAAAUAAUGAAAUAUCAGUUGCAACUUGCCUUGUGUCCAUCGGAUGACUGAAAGAAUAUUGCAAAGAAAGAAACAGUGGAAGAAUAUGUUAGCAUCUUCAAAAAUAUGGAAGUCUAAUUUAUCAAAUUGAUGCACUUUACCUUCUUCCAGACCUGUUUUUCUUCCUUUUCCUCCUCAUCCUCGUCUUCAACAUCCUUCUUUAGACCCCGUUUUCUUUCCUUUUCCUCAUCCCCGUCCUCAUCAUUGUCCUCUUUGAUGUCCUUCUUCACACCUUGUUUUCUUUUCUCUUCUUGCUCAGCCUCCUUGUUGCUUGCAUUGUCCUCCUCAUCCCCAUCAUCAUUCUCCUCAUCUCCAGCCUCAUCAUCAUCAUCCUUCUUCAAGUCCCAUUUUCUUUCCUCAUCCUCAUCCUCAUCAUGGUCCUUUUUGAUGUCCUUCUUCACACCUUGUUUUCUUUUCUCUUCUUGCUCAGCCUCCUUGUCGCUUUCAUUGUCCUCCUCAUCCCCAUCAUCAUUCUCCUCAUCUCCAGCCUCAUCAUCAUCAUCAUCAUCCUUCUUCAAGCCCCAUUUUCUUUCCUUUUCCUCAUCCUCAUCCUCAUCAUAGUCCUUUUUGAUGUCCUUCUUCACACCUUGUUUUCUUUUCUCUUCUUGCUCAACCUCCUUGUCGCUUUCAUUGUCCUCCUCAUCCCCAUCAUCAUCCUCAUCAUCCUCAUCAUCAUCAUCAUCAUUGCCGUCAUAUUCUAUACCAUCUAACUCGUCUUCCUCGAUAGCCUCUCCAGUAAACCAUGACACAGCAUGUGGAAUGAUUUUGUCCCGAAUAAUAAUACUAUCAUCCACAAAAACAAGUCCAUAUCAGAGAAAAGGAGAGAGAGAUGCACAGAAUAGACCCAAUGAAGUUCACAUAAAGAAUGUGGGACUUACCCUAAAUUGUAGCCUUGUUUUAGCCGGUCCUGAAGUUCAUCAUACUGUGAACACAAGAGACUACGACAUCAACUAACAUAUUAACAGUUACAUUGCUUUCCUUGUACAUAACGAAGCGGAACUUACAUCAUCAUCAUCUAGGUCAUCCUCAUUCUCAGGGAUCUGAGGAGGAUUAAAGAAUGUGAAGAAACUUUCACAGUUCUUAAUUGUCAUGGUGGUUUUGGUCUUCUUUGACACCAUUCUUUGUUUCCUCUUCACAACCUUCGUCGUCAAGCAUUUCUCAGGAUACCAUUCAAUUUCCGACCUAAAAAAUCAGAUGAAACAUUAUAAGAAGGAAAAUUAGAAAGGAAGAGAAUAAAAACUCUCAGCACAACAACAUUAAUAUAAUUAACUACCCAAUUGCUUGACUCAAAAUAGGAUCAGAUUCAUCAAUUAUGUGACAAGUCUUUGUCAGGACAGAAUUUUUGAAGUAAGGACAAGGGUUGAAGUAAAACUCCAGCUCGAAACCCUCAGGAUUUUGAAGUCUCGACCACUUGAUAUCUUUUAUAAACUUUAGGGCUCCUUCAUCUUGUCCCUUAAUCUAUUGCAAGAAUCAAUUGAUAAAUCAAAUUACACAGUGAUGAAUCCAAAAGGAAGAAAUAUAUGUGUGCAUAUGUGAGCACGCCUUGCAUACCUCCUCUGCUAGUACUUCAUGAGUUUUCAUUGCAGUGAGCCAGAAUUCAGGCACUCCUUUCUCUGCAUUGAAGAAGUACUAUACUCUUAAGUUCAAUAUAAGGCAUUGCUUUCAAAUACUCCAUGUAUGUUUGCCAAAAACAAGAUAUACUGUUAAAAAUAUACGCUAAUACCUUCUAUAGCUUGAUCCUCUUUUAUGCUAUCUAAUUCAGCAGACAUAACCCCGUCAACUUCUUUUAGACCAUUCACAAUCUCAUAUCUCUGCGCCGAGAGCCCAUCAAAAACUUAAAUUAAUUACAUAAAUACGGAACAAAAAAUUGCAAUGCAUGCUACCUCUGAUUCAACAUUCACGUAACACAUGCAGAAGUAUUAAUGCAAAGACAAUACAUACCUUAGUGUAUAGUGGUUGAUAAAGCUUGUUGUAUUUAGCUUCUAAUGCCUUUCUCUCCUCAAGAAACUGUGCUUCCAGCUCAUCAUGUUGGCUCUGCAGAAGACAUCAAUUCGCGUAUGUAAUUAAGUAUGUCAUGAUCAUCUAUACAUGUAAUAAAACUUAACAAAAAUGUUGAAAACUGGGCUAUAAAAUAACACAAGCUUAUGAAAACAUAAACAGCACAAUGUUUCUUGUAGAAAGUACGUAGAUAAAUACACCAACCUGAAGAUGUCUGAGACACUCCACGUGUUUGCUGACCUUGGGAGACGAUGACAACUUCAUGUUAUAGUUACUCAUACGGGAAUGUUUGGGGGAUGGGAAAAUAAAAUAGCCUAGAAAAGGAGGGAAAGUGAGUUUAGUUUUCUCUUAUGAGGGAAGGAGAUGUCGAUGUGAGCUUACAGGUUUUUAUUUAUAAGUUGAGAAAGUGAUGUGUUUCUUGUUGUCAUGACUUUGGUAUCUAUCUGAUGCUGUUAAGGGGUUCGAGCAUACAGCCCAUUGGAAUCGAUUUCAAGUUUAACUGUCAAGUAAAGCCAGGAAGGAUCAGCUUCAGGAUGAAAUUAAUACCAAUUUUUCAUCUGGGACAAAGCAAAAUUCACUCAUGUCACUUUGGAGUUUAGAAUAGAUUUCCACUUUAAGUAAAGUAUAGAUAGGAUUCUUUUAUCUUGUUUCGUGUUGUGCAUUGUUUCUUUAAGUAAAGUAUAAAUUACUCCUUGUGGUUUUUUGCAAUGAAUUUGUCCAUCAAUUAUUAAUUAUGGUAAAUUCCUUGUUCAGAAACUAUCAAUAGUCUAGUUUAGGGACUCCGCAGUUUUUUUCCGACAGACUUGUAUUAACACAGAAAAAAGACCACAAGCUGGUGAUGAUGACAUACAAGAAAACUCGAGAUCUCAGGUACAAGCCUCUCCUUCGUAACCAGGAAAAAAACACACGAGUUUGCUCAGGAUUGCACUUUUCCUUUCAGUGCUUCAAUCACUGCUGAAAAAUCACUAUCGCUAAGCCCGUGACUUUUUGCUACCUUGUAUAGUUCAUUUGCAGCUGCUGCAAUUGGAGUGGGUUGGGAAACAGAUUCUGCUAAUCCCAGGGCAAGUCUCAUGUCCUGAAACCAUUGA